GACGAACGCUGGCGGCGUGCUUAACACAUGCAAGUCGAACGGUGAAGGUGGAGCUUGCUCCGCCGGAUCAGUGGCGAACGGGUGAGUAACACGUGGGCGACCUGCCCCUGCCUUCGGGAUAACUCCUCGCAAGAGGUGCUAAUACCGGAUACGACUCCUGCAGGCAUCUGCGGGACUGGAACGUUUUUCGGUCAGGGAUGGGCCCGCGGCCUAUCAGCUUGGUGGUGGGGUAGUGGCUCACCAAGGCGACGACGGGUAGCCGGCCUGAGAGGGCGACCGGCCACACUGGGACUGAGACACGGCCCAGACUCCUACGGGAGGCAGCAGUGGGAAUAUUGCGCAAUGGGCGAAAGCCUGACGCAGCAACGCCGCGUGAGGGAUGACGGCCUUCGGGUUGUAAACCUCUUUCAGCAGGGAAGAAGCGAAAGUGACGGUACCUGCAGAAGAAGCACCGGCUAACUACGUGCCAGCCGCCGCGGUAA
rnacentral:rRNA from 1 species